AGACCUUAAGAAACUAUUCAGAACGCUUUCAAGCUACUAGCACUAAAGAUCAGAAUACCACUGAAGAAGAAAGAGGGCAGCUUACCACAGUUCAAACUGUUCCCACGGAGAGGGGGAAGAAUAAAGGAGAAGAGAAGAGCAGACGGGUUUCCAGACCGAAGUUUCAAAAGGAGCAGAAGAAGAGGGAGAAGCUGAGAAAGAAGCUGAGGACCUAAAGAAGCAGCUGGAGAAUGAGACCAAAGAGUUUGAGGAGCAGCUCCAGCAGGAGAAGACCAGGAGAGAGAGAGCUGAGAGAGAACUGAAGGACCUAAGGACAGACUCAGGAAUGGAUAUUGAGGUCGACCAACAGCGUGAAUAUAUCCGUCUCAGAAACUCUUCCACUGAGGACAAACAGCUGAAACAGUGGGAUCUUUCUCUGCACAUCAGAGAAACCAAUAAGAAAUAUAGAUUUGAAGAAUUGCUGCUGAAGGCUGGAAGACAUGUCACUAUCUGGGUACCAAAGUGUGACCCCAGUUAUCCUGCUGGUGACCUGGUGUGGAAGGAUCUGAAGCCCUGGAGCCCUGGAGACACACUGUGGUUCACCCUCCGCAACAACAAGAGAGUGAUACAACAUCGACUCUGUGUAAAAUCCACUGACCGAUAAUAACUAGCCCCUUCUUCUCUGCUCAUAUGAGUUUCCUUUAGCUGAUCUUACACUGCUUUUAUUCAAAGCUGCAGAAAAUGUGGAUUUGAGACGUUUGAUGGUCUUGUUCCUCGUCUCAUGAAAAGAUGUGUGACAGAUUUAUCACGGACAGGAAAGAAAACAGGAUUUGAAAGGUUGAAUAUUGUGAACGUAUCUCUAAUUUAAAUAUUGUUAUAAAAAUAUUGGAAAUUAACAAAAUGAGAGGUUUUGAGUUUACUGGAUUUUAAAUGUUUAUACAAUCUUUACAAAUCUUUAGUUUUGUCUUCAUUGUGUACUGUAAAAGUAUUCACUCAGUGUUUCUACUGUAAAGAUAUGAACAACUUCAAAUUCAGUUUUAUUCUGAAAAGUUCCGACUCUGAUGUACAGUUUUGAUAUUUGCUCUGAGAAAUACCAUCUUCCAAAUAUGUUGUUUUUAAACCAACAAUAUAUGAAAUAUAAAAUGUAGUAUUUGUAAAUUGAUUUGUGAAUUGUUCACCCCUUCAGUUACCCUAUUAAACCAUACACAUUU